rnacentral:rRNA from 1 species
GGUAAGUGUGAGCCAGCAGCGGGUGAAAUACGGAGAGGGCAAGCGUUAAUCGGAAGUACUGGGCGUAAAGCGCACGCAGGCGGUCAAUUAAGUCAGAUGUGAAAGCCCCGAGCUGAACUUGGGAAUUGCAUCUGAAACUGGUUGGCUAGAGUCUUGUAGAGGGGGGUAGAAUUCCGCGUGUAGCGGUGAAAUGCGUAGAGAUGUGGAGGAAUACCGGUGGCGAAGGCGGCCCCCUGGACAAAGACUGACGCUCAGGUGCGAAAGCGUGGGGAGCAAACAGGAUUAGAUACCCCGGUAGUC